UCCCUCCGUGGUCCAUUCGAAAGUAGUGCCUAUUUCUAAAGAGUUCCUUUUCUCUUCUUGAAUAUAAGCCAUUUAACAAUGUGAGACAUGUCUUUUGUGGUUAUUUGUAAUAUCCUGUAUGUGUCUGGAGUACUUUGAUGCCUUGGAUUGGAAGCUAACUUAAAAGAUGAACUUUUGAGGGUGUGUUUUCUAUUGUGUGGGGCUUUUGUCAAAAUUAGGAUUCCGAAACACGUUUUUUUACGGUGGGUUCAUUCGACAGCGAUUUACUUUCUUAGAAGUUGCGAGACGGUAUGUUUUUUGAUUGCAAUUAUUGGAAGAUGACAGAUCCAUCUUUAAAAUGAUACCAGGUUCGGAAAAAUUGAUACGUCGGAAAGGCAAUAAAAAUGCUGUGAAAGUUGUCAGUUUUAUAAUGGGACCCUAUGGGAAUCGGAAUUAGUGUAAUAUAACCUUUAAAAAGCACAUUUACUGCAAUGUCAAGGUCACAUGGAUUCGUCUGCAAGCGAGACAAGUAGAAAAUGAAUUUUAAUGAAUGUUUUGAUGAUUUGGGUGCUAAAAUAGAUGAGAGGUGUCAAUAUUUUGGUCCAAAUGGAUGUUUUAGGUGGUUUUGGACUGUUCCGGAUGGGUGGGGGACCUGGUAUGGACAAGUAAGGGUAACAUUUCCAACAAAUCUUAAAUGUAAAUAUUAUUAUGUCCAUAGAUUGAAGUUUCAGGUGGAGAGCAAGAUGAAAAAUAUGCAAAAUUACAUGCAUGCAACCCAUUUAUGCCAUUUUUCUCUUUGUUUGUAGGCCUGACCGUUUGUCCUUGAGCCGUAGAUGGUCAACAAUCCGCUAGCUGUCUUGCUCUGACUGGUGCACUGGACAUGAUUUCAAUAGUCAGCCAGACCAUGAUUGAGCUUAAGGGUUGUGCUGCGGAUGCAGCCUGUGCAGUUCCGGGAGAAAGUCACUGUCUCGGGCAAUGCGGUCUGGUAUCAGGUCUUGAUGAUCCUUGCCUGACUGCGGGUUUGUGUACACCUCAAUCCGACUCUGUGUCCUGAACAGAGGCCGCAGUGGUGCAGCGCUUGUGGACGAUCCAUCAACAUCCUGAAAGGUCAACACUACACCAAGCUGGGAAAAUUGAUCCUGAUAGUCAUCCCCAGGCCUGACCGUUUGUCCUUGAGCCGUAGAUGGUCAACAAUCCGCUAGCUGUCUUGCUCUGACUGGUGCACUGGACAUGAUUUCAAUAGUCAGCCAGACCAUGAUUGAGCUUAAGGGUUGUGCUGCGGAUGCAGCCUGUGCAGUUCCGGGAGAAAGUCACUGUCUCGGGCAAUGCGGUCUGGUAUCAGGUCUUGAUGAUCCUUGCCUGACUGCGGGUUUGUGUACACCUCAAUUCGACUCUGUGUCCUGAACAGAGGCCGCAGUGGUGCAGCGCUUGUGGACGAUCCAUCAACAUCCUGAAAGGUCAACACUACACCAAGCUGGGAAAAUUGAUCCUGAUAGUCAUCCCCAGGCCUGACCGUUUGUCCUUGAGCCGUAGAUGGUCAACAAUCCGCUAGCUGUCUUGCUCUGACUGGUGCACUGGACAUGAUUUCAAUAGUCAGCCAGACCAUGAUUGAGCUUAAGGGUUGUGCUGCGGAUGCAGCCUGUGCAGUUCCGGGAGAAAGUCACUGUCUCGGGCAAUGCGGUCUGGUAUCAGGUCUUGAUGAUCCUUGCCUGACUGCGGGUUUGUGUACACCUCAAUCCGACUCUGUGUCCUGAACAGAGGCCGCAGUGGUGCAGCGCUUGUGGACGAUCCAUCAACAUCCUGAAGGUCAACACUACACCAAGCUGGGAAAAUUGAUCCUGAU